CAAACCUGCCUUAAGGAUGGGGAUAACAGACGGAAACGACUGCUAAUACCGAAUACGUUCUAAGCAUCGCAUGAUGCAUAGAAGAAAGGGUGGCCUCUACAAGAAAGCUAUCGCCUUAAGAGGGGUUUGCGACUGAUUAGGUAGUUGGUGAGGUAACGGCUCACCAAGCCGGCGAUCAGUAGCCGGUCUGAGAGGAUGAACGGCCACACUGGAACUGAGACACGGUCCAG
rnacentral:rRNA from 1 species